rnacentral:rRNA from 1 species
ACCUGCGGAGGGAUCAUUACCGAGUUUACAACUCCCAAACCCCUGUGAACAUACCUAUACGUUGCCUCGGCGGAUCAGCCCGCGCCCCGUAAAAAGGGACGGCCCGCCCGAGGACCCCUAAACUCUGUUUUUAGUGGAACUUCUGAGUAAAACAAACAAAUAAAUCAAAACUUUCAACAACGGAUCUCUUGGUUCUGGCAUCGAUGAAGAACGCAGCAAAAUGCGAUAAGUAAUGUGAAUUGCAGAAUUCAGUGAAUCAUCGAAUCUUUGAACGCACAUUGCGCCCGCCAGUAUUCUGGCGGGCAUGCCUGUUCGAGCGUCAUUUCAACCCUCAAGCUCAGCUUGGUGUUGGGACUCGCGGUAACCCGCGUUCCCCAAAUCGAUUGGCGGUCACGUCGAGCUUCCAUAGCGUAGUAAUCAUACACCUCGUUACUGGUAAUCGUCGCGGCCACGCCGUAAAACCCCAACUUCUGAAUGUUGACCUCGGAUCAGGUAGGAAUACCCGCUGAACUUAAGCAUAUCAAAA